UCUUUAAUGGAGAGUUUGAUCCUGGCUCAGGACGAACGCUGGCGGCGUGCCUAAUACAUGCAAGUCGAGCGGGGUUAGUUAGAAGCUUGCUUCUAACUAACCUAGCGGCGGACGGGUGAGUAACACGUAGGCAACCUGCCCACAAGACAGGGAUAACUACCGGAAACGGUAGCUAAUACCCGAUACAUCCUUUUCCUGCAUGGGAGAAGGAGGAAAGGCGGAGCAAUCUGUCACUUGUGGAUGGGCCUGCGGCGCAUUAGCUAGUUGGUGGGGUAAAGGCCUACCAAGGCGACGAUGCGUAGCCGACCUGAGAGGGUGAUCGGCCACACUGGGACUGAGACACGGCCCAGACUCCUACGGGAGGCAGCAGUAGGGAAUCUUCCGCAAUGGGCGAAAGCCUGACGGAGCAACGCCGCGUGAGUGAUG
rnacentral:rRNA from 1 species